rnacentral:rRNA from 1 species
UGGGGAAUAUUGCACAAUGGGCGCAAGCCUGAUGCAGCAACGCCGCGUGAACGAUGAAGGUCUUCGGAUCGUAAAGUUCUGUUGCAGGGGAAGAUAAUGACGGUACCCUGUGAGGAAGCACCGGCUAACUACGUGCCAGCAGCCGCGGUAAUACGUAGGGGGCUAGCGUUAUCCGGAUUUACUGGGCGUAAAGGGUGCGUAGGUGGUCUUUCAAGUCGGUGGUUAAAGGCUACGGCUCAACCGUAGUUAGCCUCCGAAACUGGAAGACUUGAGUGCAGGAGAGGAAAGUGGAAUUCCCAGUGUAGCGGUGAAAUGCGUAGAUAUUGGGAGGAACACCAGUAGCGAAGGCGGCUUGCUGGACUGCAACUGACACUGAGGAACGAAAGCGUGGGUAGCAAACAGG